GUGUGGUUGGCGCCGAACGUUAUAAGGAUGCCGGCAAUGGCGAUAUCUAAGUCACUACUCCAAUCAAGAGCAAAAAGGUGGGGGUUUGGAGAAGCAGCCUGGAAGGGAAGAAGAGGGCUCCUUCCAGGCCUGUGGAGUCCCCAGAGCACUGUUAAGCAAGGGGAGGGCUUCCUGCCCACGCAGCCAUCUGUAACAUUCUAUGAACAGCAGGAUCCCAGGACUGCCACAGCCCCAAACCUGGGUGAACAGCACGGUUCUCCACAGCUGAAGUAAAUAACCUAUCAGUCUCUGCUUGUCAGAAGAUACUGCCGAGGGAAACCGGCCUGACCGGUACCAAAAUACCCGGCCUGCCUUUUGGAAUGUGCUGGUAGCAAGCUGGGAAUGUCAUCAUGCCUGCUAAUGUCACACUGUGGAGCACAUUCUGAGAUCCGUGGACGUGUGUCUGACGGGCUCCUCCGUUACUGCUUUCUAGGCGUGAGUCAAUUAGAGCUGGCUUUCUGGAAAGUAGUGUCACUUAAAAUGUAUUUUAUGCAAGUUAAUUUUUGUGUCUAUAAUUUGGGGCUCCCAUGUCUGUUAUUUCCUCCAGUCCUUGGCUCACACAACCCCACAGCCUAUGGAAAGUAGUGAAGAGUGACCAUGGAAAAAAUAACAAGGGCGUUUUUACUUCCAACAUCUGGAGAAAAUACACUUAAGGAAAUGUUAACAAAUAGGUACAGGGAUUGAUAACGUUAAAAGACAUAUAUACUUCCUUAUAGGCAGAAAACGCAGCCAGGAUACACGAGAUUGUUUAAGUCAGUUUUUACACAAAGAAUACAACAAAGUUUAACACCAAAAAUAAUCUUCUUUAUGAAGGCUGUGUUCACUUCCUUUCCUGGGGUCAGCCCAAUGAAUAAUGUCAAAUCCCCAAAGCACAUAGGUGCAGGAACGUUUUUCUCAGAGAAGAAAGACAUCAUAGGAUUCCAAUUUUAAAAACUUCCCUUCUCUCUACUUUUCAGUAAGUUUUGCUGUUGCAUCUAACUUUUGGCAGCAGCCUAGCAGAGCAAAUGAAUUCUAAUACAGAGCAUGAAACAUAGAAAGAGGAGAGGAACACAAGAAACAUUCCGGCACAUGGACAAAUAUUAGAAUGAACAACACAGCCACAAUAUUAUUAAUAAUUAAAAAUAUAAAGACAAAAUUGUUGUGCUCUUGUGUAUUAAAAUAAAGACAAAACACACCUUAAGGGAAAAUAAACCUUAAGUAUCUACCACCAAAUUAACUCACCAGUGGCAAUAUUCAGUAUAACUUCUCUACUUCAAUUUAAGCACAUUUUAUAAUCCGAAAGGAAACAUUAGUAAAUAUUCCCAUAUGGUCUAAAUUUGAGAUGUUUCUUUGGCUCUGAAUCAAUGUUAAGCUCUCAGUAUAAGCUAUAAGGCAACAGAAGUUAAAAUACAAAGAGUCAAAAGGCAUUGAAUUUCCUUAGAGCUACCCAAUGUUAAGAGAAGGCAAAAAAAAAAAAAAACCCAAAUUAAUAUGUAGAAGCAAAAUUAAACCAUUAAGAAAAUAUUUUAGUGAGCACAUUGAAAGUUGCAAAGCAGGAACUGGAGAACAUUUUUAAAAGUUUUGGAAAUGAAGAUACUUUCCUAGUAGCUGUGAUUGUGCUCCGGAGUGCUGAGGGAGGGCGAGAAGACACAUCUUCACAGACAGCUUCCCAUCGCGCACUGGGAAAACCAAGAGAGAGUGUUUCUGCUAUCUCUCUUUAGCUUUUCAAGAUGAUGCACAACUUUUCUCUAUUUGAAUCUUUACUUAACAAAAAUGAACAAUAAUAAUAAUAAUGGCUUCUCUCUUUGGGCUUUUAUUUAGCAAAAAUAGAUAAUAAUAAUAAAUAAAUAAUAAUGACUUUAUCCAUUUGGACCUUUACUCACCUAAAAUAGAUACAAUAAUAAAAAUAAUUGUCUACAUAACUUUAGUCUAGUGACUAGAAACAAGAGGCAUGGGUCACUUCUGUGUUGUAUAUUUUUAAAAACUAGUAAAGAACACAUAAGGCAAUGUUUCCAGAAAGUAUGAAAGGAAGAAAGGACAAACUCAGUAAAAAUUUUCACCUGGUAAUUUGGGAAGCUAUAGAUGACACAGUCACUCUUUUCUAUAAAACUGCUUCAAAUUCAUAUAAUCAUCUAAAAUACCUACACCUUGUAUUUAAAUUUUACAUCCAAGCUUUGUAAUUUACUUAGUUGGAUGAAAGAGAAAA